rnacentral:lncRNA from 1 species
UGAUUUGGUUAAUGUCCUAGGAGGGAAUAAUUUGAAAUCCAUUUCUUGUUUGUAGAAUUAACUAGCAUAGACAUAGCUCUAGCAGUACAAUGUGUAGACAAGAGAGUGGAGUAGUGGUUGUACAAUUGUACUAUUGUCCUUCUACUGCGCUCUUUAGUGGAUAAGCAUCCAAUGCCUUCUAAUUCCUCUGAUGUAGACAUUGCUCCAGACUUCUAUUCCUUCUGCAAACUUGUGUCUUCAAUAAAUAUAACUAACUGCAGGUUCUUGACUUCAGACUCCGACAAUCUUCA